rnacentral:sRNA from 2 species
CGUCGGGGCACGCCGAGUCCCACCACCCCGACGGAUCCCCUGCAGAACCGGUGGGAGCGGAGGACCCAACCUCUGGCCGCGAGGCCUCGGGGUGAAGUCCACCGGCUCGGCCCCUGCCGAGCCAUCGGACGGGGUGGUCUCCACCCCAACCCGACAGCUAACUCCGCAGGCGCCAGGAGACACAGCAU